rnacentral:rRNA from 1 species
UACGUAGGUGGCAAGCGUUGUCCGGAAUUACUGGGUGUAAAGGGCGUGUAGGCGGGGGAACAAGACAGAUGUGAAAUCCCGAGGCUUAACUUCGGAGCUGCAUCUGAAACUGUUCUUCUUGAGUGUCGGAGAGGAAAGUGGAAUUCCCAGGGUAGCGGUGAAAUGCGUAGAGAUUGGGAGGAACACCAGUGGCGAGGGCGGCUUUCUGGACGAUAACUGACGCUGAGGCGCGAAAGCGUGGGGAGCAAACAGG